AGGCACCACCCUUGCACUGUGGUUCUGAGCGCGCCGUCCGCGCCCAGCUGACAGCUGCUCGCUCCGUGUUGUUAGCC
rfam:Xanthomonas oryzae pv. oryzae KACC10331, complete genome.